UCCCAAUUAUUUAACAUUUUGCUAACGAAAAAGUUCUUUUUUAUAUUUUAACAGGAAAUGAUAGAUUAUGUGAUUUUCCCUAAAUAAUGAGACUUUUCUGUUCAAAAAAAACUUUUAGGACUUUAUCAAAAAUUUCCUGAAAUAUUGAGACUUUUCUGCAAAAAACCUUAUGGUUUUAACUUUUUUUUUCUUAGGACAUAAAAUUUACCCGUGAAAAUUGCUUUGUCUUCGGAUGAUAUUGCUAAAAAUAAUUGCAUGGAUUUCUCAAAGUAGAAUGCUGAUAGAUGAUACAAGUAUAAAUGUAUGAUGUCAUAUUAAAGAAAUCAAUGAAAGUAUGUUGCUAUUUCUGGCAUUUAGCCAAAUGAUAAAAAACAUAGAUUUACGAUUUUACCUGGAUAGGAUAAAAUGACCCAUUCCAAUCUGAAUUUCUUUUAUGUGUGGCAUCACGAGAUGGAGUCAAAUUAAGAACAUAGAUUAGUGUCAUGAGGACUAUAGAAAUGGUGUAAGGAUAUGACAAGUCUAAUGUAACCAACUGAUUUGAUAUGGCAUUAGCUGCAAAGCUUGAACCCAUUGCUUUCGUUGUAAUCACUCAAUUAUUUUGUUGGAUAAUUGGCAGCUUAAAGUUGAGCAGUAUCAAAUUAUAAAAUUAGUCGACUAGUUUUCUUCUUUCUAAACCUGUCAGCUUUAGUUGUCUGACUAUCUAAAUGUUUAUCUUGCCUGCCAUUAUUCAUCAUGCUUAUGCUCAUGCGUUUAGAGGUUCUAUCGCAAGGAACCAUGUUAUGUUAUGUUAUGUAUAACAUCUUCUUAUUUUGAUGAGUGUCUAAUCAUCAUAUCUCAAGCAAACACUUGUUGUAAAGCAUGCCAUAAGGGUGUUGUAGCACAGUUAAGUUAGUAAUUCGAGAAAGAAACAGGUAGGUCUCCAAAGCCGAGUUCAAGACUCGAUACUUUUAUUCAUAAUCAAACAAAAUAUAUAUAUAUAUAUAUAUAUAUAUAUAUAUAUAUAUAUAUAUAUAUAUAUAUAUAUAUAUAUAUAUAUAUAUAUAUAUAUAUUAAAAUUAAAAAAAGACAAAACAGCACAAAUGGUCCCCGUGGUUUGCUCAAAAUUGCCACUUUGGUCUAAAAAAGUUUGGACUAGCACCAGAGGUCCAAACUUUACAUUUUGUUGCUUGUUUAGUCCAUUCUAUUCUGAUUUUUUUCAAAAGGACGGAUUUGCCCCUGUUAAUAUGAUUUUCUUUUUUGUUUUCUUAAUUGUUUUUUGUGAUUCUGAUUUUCAGAUUUAAAAAAAUAAAAAAUAAAAAUAAAUCACUCACUCUCUCUCUCUCCAAUUACCCAUCUUCCUGAAAAUCGUCCAGAUGAACAAAAAAAAACACCUAGAACAAAUUGUUGAACACAUCAAUUCUCAAUGGAGAUGGAGAAAAGAGAAUGAGAAAUCAUAUCUAAGGAUCAACACCACACCCUUCUCAGUUCAUCUUCACCAUCUGUGGCUCGAUUUUCAGUGUCACCGAAAAACCCACCCCAACCACACCCUCCACUCCUCCAGUACCACGGUAUCAGAAGACGAAAUAGAGGGCAGAUCGAAUAAGGGAGAAAGAAGAAAACAAAAUCGUGAAAACGAAAUCAGAUCGAGUUCGUGGGUUCUUGGGCUCUUCAUCUGAACACACAGACGGUGAUCUGAAGACGAAACGACAGAGGAAAAAACCCUGAAUCGAAAUCUGCUUCUCUACUUCAUCUCUCUGACGAUAGUCUUCAGUCUUGAGCUCAUGUCUCUGAUCUCCUCCUCAGACAAGAACAGAUCAGAUCUGAGCCAGUGAAGUCUGAAAUCUUUCUUCAGAUCUGUCGAUCUGAAACCCCUCCUCCUCUUCAUAUCUAGUCAUCAAACUUUCUUUCAUCUUUUUUAUUCCUGUAAACAACCAUCGAAGCAUAAAUCCAAUUACACAGUCUUGAUUUGUUUAACAUUUAUAAUUAAAUAAAAGAAAAAGAA